GUUAGCUUAUAUUUCAUUCUUUUUUUCUGUUACUUGAUCUUGUAUGUUAUGUGUGCUUCUGAGCACGAAUUACAGCGUUGAAUGCAGACGAUGUUGUAGUUUGGUUGUGGUUAUUCCCAUCCAUUCUAUGCUACGAGUGUUACUGUGAUUUGUUUAUUUUUUGCUUGGGUGACUUUACGGUGGUUCAAUAUGGCAAGUAAUGAGCUUGGUACAACUGCAGUAGACAGGGAUGUGAAAGCAGUCUCUUUAGGUGAAAGUAAUCAGGAGAUGGAAACGAAAUCAGAAGCAAGUAGUAGUGAAAUGUCGAAAGAUUCCAGUAUAGGUGACAGUAGUUUAUUAACAGAGAUGGGAAUUCCAAAUGCAGUGUCGUCACCAAUCAUGGAGACACCCAAGCAAGGUGAGUGUAAACUUAGGUCUGACCUGUCCAUCAUUGACAUGCUCAAACAAAUAAAGGAAGACAUUAAGCGCCAGAGGCAUGAAAACAAACAAUUAAGGGAAGAUAUUAUGUGCCAAAAAGAAGAUAAUAAGCAGUCGGUAGAGCAGAUAAACAAAUGACUCAGUAAAAAGAUCGGCGAGACUAAUGAGGCUCUAAGGUAACUGGCUGAGUCAAUUCAUCAGAGGAUAGACAAACUUACCAUUCGGUUUGAGGAGAACGUUGCAGGCAAUACUUAACGUUUUGAAAAGGUAGAAUUGGAAGUCAAAAAAGUGAAGGAAGAACUUACUAAAAAGGUUGAGGUUUACGAGGGGCAUUUUGAACAAAUGGAUGAGGAAGUGAAACACUGUAAACAUAGGAUAUCAGCUGUUGCGCUAAACCAGGAUGCUUAUGCAUGGCGAGUAGAAGAGGUGUACAGUGAGGUAGGCAAGACUAAGGAACAGGUCGGUCAGCAGGUGAAGAGUGAAGUGAAAUCACUAUUAUUUGAUGGAAGCAUUGCUGGAGGUAGCUUAAUUGGUAUACAAAAUGAUGAGGUCUUCUUUGGCAUACGAAAUUUUAAGAACUUCGAACCAAAUGGGAAGUGGCAUUCUAAAGAUUUCUUACAUCAAUUUAAGGGCGUGUUGCCUGAAUUAUGGGACGAGCAAAGAAAGGUACGCUUCGUUGCAGCAAGAUUGGAAGGUGAAGCUGGUACCUGGGGUAUGAGAAUAGGACAUAAGUGUACAACCUUUGCUGAAUUUGAAAAGGAAUUUUUGCAACAAUAUUGGUUGAGACGGAAGCAAAAUCAAGUAUGUAACAGUCUAUACUAGGGUAGAAGGUUUGAGACUGGGUGUGACCAGAAAUUAAAGAAAUUUUUUCAAGAUAAUUAUGAGAGGAACUUGAAUUUAGGUGAAUCAGUGAUGACCGAAGCAAUAGUGUCCCUGACCAUAAGUAAGCUACCAACUGGAGUUCAGUAGAGGCAAUGAAAUUAGUCUCAGGACAAUUAAACCCGUUGUAUGAGUCACAAGGAACAGGAGGAGGAAAAGAUGGUAGAAGAGUAUCAGGGAACAAUGAAACCAAUACAAAUACCCAUCCAAACCAUGACAGUAGACAUAGUGGAUGACAUUAGAAUAAUUAUAAUGACAGGAGACAUUAUGUGGUUUCUGUGUCCAUGUUGGUCACAGAAGCGACGGUGGCCUCUACAGAUAUCAGAAUUCAAGGCACAAUGCAUCAGAUGACCAGAUGCGAAACUGGAAACAUAGCAAGUGGAAAGAGUAUAUAACAUAUUUUGAGGGUGUAAUCAACAACUUAUCUCAUGCCUCAAGGGCAAACACCAACUGGAAAACAUUAAACUAUACUAUAGUGAGCAAGAUUAAUGACUGAGUGAUAUAUUGUGAUGUGUCUGAAUCUGUAUAUAUGUCAGCUGCAAUUGUCCUUAAGUACAGAAAUUAAUUUCUGAUUAUUAUGAGGUUUUAUGAGGACAUUUUAAUCGAGUGAGAUUUAACUAGGAUGUGUUACUGCCAUAUGCAAUUUUUUUUUUCUUUUCACUUUCUAUCUGUUUAACCUAGAUUAUAUGUAUAACAUUUCAUCUUGCCUGCAGAGUGAUAUGGUUUGAGUGAUUACUAGUGACUAGUGUAUAUAGGUUCUGCUAUCCAAAAGUUUUUCAUUAAAAGUUUCUUUAUACUCCUGCUUAAUGAUUGCUAUUAUUUUUUGUACCAUUCACUUAGUAACUAAAUUUAACUUAGUGGACAUCCAUAUAUAUUUUUCCUUCUUAAUAGCCUAUGUGUUUAUUAUGUCAUAUAGAACAUCGUAAUGUCUACUGUAGUAGUAACAGACUAAGGUUAAGUUGAAUAGGCAUUGCUAGGGCAACACUGAGAGCACCAUUAAACUGUUUCAUGUAUUCCAAUGGACGGAUUACUGUGAGGCGAGAGUGGCGAGCUGAUGACUAAACUGCACAUCUGCAGGUCGGCGCAGCAUCGACGUUACAGUCACUCCCCACUCCUUCCAUUGCAAAGAAUGCUCCAUUGUGAUGCAGUGUUGUGAGUAGUGAAAUAAUUUUUUUUUCUUUUCCCUAGUGCCGAUGGAAGUUCUUCAGUUUUUUGCCUAAUAGUGUCACCAGUGAUAUUGUCUACCAAGAGUGCCAGUGAACAUGAUUUGAUGUGAAUUCUAGACAGGAAGUUACCUAUCUGUUGGAGCAUGUGAUGAGAACUCUAAGGAGGAAGCUGAAAGAUGCCGGUGGAUCCAUUCUCCACACAGCUGUAUGGCUCUAUCCUGAUGGACGAGUCAACUUGCAAGAGAUCAUGGGUGCUGGGUAACGUACGUGAGCAUCUGUUGACUGGAGCUGUGUUGUGACUUAUAUUUGUGAAUGGGUAGCCAAGACUGCUAAAGACAGUGUUAUUCAGCAUAAAUGCAUGUCUUUCUUACAAAAAUUUGGGGGAUUGACUUUCCAAUCAUUAUGUAACUUUAAAUCAGUAUGUAUUUUUUUUAUCAUUUGAAAAUUAAUCUUUGAAGUCUUUAUGUAUGUAGAUUAGUUGUAUGGAAAGUUAGCAAAUAGUGUGGAUGACAUUUACUAGUAUGGACAGUAUAACAGAAUGUAUGCAUGUCUGCUGUCAUACUCUGAUUUUGGUUCUCAAGCUACUGGAUUGUGUCAUCAUUCAAAAUGCUCAGAGUGUGUGUGUGUGUGUGUGUGUGUGUGUGUGUGUGUGUGUGUGUGUGUGUGUGUGAACUAAAAGAGAAUGUACAACCAUUGAUUGAAGCUAGAUGCUUCUUGCAUUUACUCUUUGCAUAUAUUGAUAUGAUUAUGAGCUUUAUUCAUUUUGUUUUGUCAAAAAAAUUUUCUCUUUUGUACCCGAUGUGGUUUGGAUUCAUUGGUUAAUCCCCACAUUGUAAACUUAGGCCCUAAUGUUUUUCUGUUAUUUUGUUCUUUCAUGAGUCAACAUAUCAUUGAAUCCUACAGUUUAUGUGACUGAUUGAUUACUAUUCACGAUUGAGUAUAUUCUUCUGGUAUGUACCCAUUAUUGUGAGUUUUUCAAGUUGGCUCACUUGUCGUACGCUUAGGCUCUGAAAUUUUUUCUCUUCUCUUUUGAAGAUUUUAUUGUAUGGAUCUUAACUUAAAAUUUGUAAAUUCUAUAAUUUACAUUGUCUCUGUAAUUAUUUCUAUAGUUUAGUGGAGUCAUGUUGUAGUUGUGACCUUGUAUUAUUUGUCGUAUGACACUAUGUUCCACUGAUCUGAAAAUCUGAAUGCCAUAUACUGAUAUAUGUGCAGAUUAUGAUUUGUAUAGUAGAUAUUUUUCUUAUGUUCUCUAUAAUCUGCAAUGCAUCAGAUACUUCUACACAUCUAUCUGCUAUCCUGGGUGUCAUUUUGUACACCGUUUGGCAAACCUUUUAGUCUGUCACAAAAUAUUGUAAACAUUCUGUUUCCAAAUUUUGUCAUGGGGAUAUAAUAAUGGGUCACCCUCCUCUAACAUUACUUUUUUAUAUAUAGAAAUAACCGAUACCAUGUAUACUAUUGAUUCUUGUGUAGGUGAUCAUUAUAUCAACUGUCUAACUGAAUGAAUUUCGUAUGAUUUUGUAUACAAUGUGUUAUGUUUCAGGCUAAAAUGUGUAAAAAGCAAUCAAUUUGUUAGUACUAUGUAUGUACAGUUAAAAUUACUCUUCUUUUAAAAUUAUUUGAAAUUAUGAAAUUUCUGGUAUUCUUAUAAUUCAUAUUAUUAAUUGUACAAUCUAAUGUGAAUUAAUAAAUUUAUUUCUGGAUCGGUUUAUAAAAUAAUGUUAUAUCUUGAUGAUGAUUCUUCUUUUAUCAUGAAAGUUUGUAAACUCUUUUGCUUUGUAAACUCUAUGGAAUAAUGUGAGUACUGCAGAAUGUAAGUAGUGGUGCGCAUGCCUCUGAUGGAAACGCAUGUAUUUUGAUGAACUUGUCAACAAUAAUGUAAUUUGUGGUGUGACAGUAGUGCAAAUUUUAAAGUCGGUGUGAUUUAGGAGAAUGGGAUAAAAUAAAAAGAUAUUCAUAGCAA